UAGGCUAUCCCGCCCAGCAGUCUGAACCGUUUUACUCCGAGCUGAUAAUUGGCGUUUAUCCCGCUCUUUAUGAACACGCUUCAUAAAGACGUGUGGAGGACGAGAGGAAAAGGGAGAGAGACUGGAGGAAAAAAGAACUGGAGUUUCUUCUGAGCUAUGAGGUUGCAGCUUCAGAGAAUUUCCUCCACUGAAGACAUCUUCACCAAGUGGUGCCGUGACUCAGACGACCAUCUCCUGCCUGGACCACAGCCGGUGAACUGACCAACCUACCAGCCAAUCGUUCAUCAGCCGAGCAAGAAAUAAGUGAAUCAUGAAGAUCCAGAUUGCCUGUUUGCUGCUGGUGCUGCUCUGUGCCACAGAGGUCUCUGGGGCUCUGACCUUUUAUGAGAGGCAUGCCAUUGAAAACAUGAUGCCGAAAGAUUGUACUAGAGUGAUGAAAGAGAGGAAUAUCCACAAUAACAACAAUAAAUGCUCGUACGCAAAUGACUUCAUUCUGGCCAAUAACGAAUUAAUCAACGCUGUCUGUGCACAAAAUAAGCAACAAAGUACCGAACGCUUUAAAGUUGUUGCCUGUACACAUAAAACGGGAACCUUUCCUGAUUGUGUCUACAUCGGUAAUGCUUUAAAUACAAAAAUUAAACUUGGCUGUGAAGGUGGUCAACCUGUGAAAUAUAUUGGUCCAGUUGCUUAAACAUCUGCUAUGUGCUUCAUUUUGUUGUCAAGCAUAAAAAUCUGAAGUAUGAUGUUUACAUUUUAACGUGGUUUUGAAUAUGCUUCUCAUGAUUUAUCUUCUGUUUGCUUAAAAAUAAUAAUAAGGGAUUGUGAGAAGAAAAUGUUUUCUGUGAAUAUACAAACAAUCUAGAGUCACAAGCAUUAUGCUGACAUGUUCUUCACUCAGUUACCUUGCAUAUCUUUCCUGUACUCAGCUGGUCUUCAUUCAUACUGUAGCAAACAAGCAAGUUUUUGCUGUACUCGUAGAAUAAACUCACUAAAACCAA